rfam:Felis catus isolate Cinnamon breed Abyssinian chromosome D4, whole genome shotgun sequence.
GCUUGGGUGGCUCAGUCGGUUAAGCGUCUGACUUCGGCUCAGGUCAUGAUCUUAACGGUGUGUGGGUUUGAGCCCCGCCUCAGGCU